UACGUAGGGUGCAAGCGUUAAUCGGAAUUACUGGGCGUAAAGCGUGCGCAGGCGGUUGUGCAAGACAGAUGUGAAAUCCCCGGGCUCAACCUGGGAAUUGCAUUUGUGACUGCACGGCUAGAGUGUGUCAGAGGGGGGUAGAAUUCCACGUGUAGCAGUGAAGUGCGUAGAGAUGUGGAGGAAUACCGAUGGCGAAGGCAGCCCCCUGGGAUAACACUGACGCUCAUGCACGAAAGCGUGGGGAGCAAACAGG
rnacentral:rRNA from 1 species